CCGUACACAAAAGCGCAUGUGCUGUGAGCUCGAUGAGUAGGGCGGGACACGUGGUAUCCUGUCUGAAUAUGGGGGGACCAUCCUCCAAGGCUAAAUACUCCUGACUGACCGAUAGUGAACCAGUACCGUGAGGGAAAGGCGAAAAGAACCCCGGCGAGGGGAGUGAAAAAGAACCUGAAACCGUGUACGUACAAGCAGUGGGAGCACAGGUUUACCUGUGUGACUGCGUACCUUUUGUAUAAUGGGUCAGCGACUUAUAUUCUGUAGCAAGGUUAACCGUAUAGGGGAGCCGGAGGGAAACCGAGUCUUAAUUGGGCGUUAAGUUGCAGGGUAUAGACCCGAAACCCGGUGAUCUAGCCAUGGGCAGGUUGAAGGUUGGGUAACACUAACUGGAGGACCGAACCGACUAAUGUUGAAAAAUUAGCGGAUGACCUGUGGCUGGGGGUGAAAGGCCAAUCAAACCGGGAGAUAGCUGGUUCUCCCCGAAAGCUAUUUAGGUAGCGCCUCGUGAAUUCAUCUCCGGGGGUAGAGCACUGUUUCGGCUAGGGGGCCAUCCCGGCUUACCAACCCGAUGCAAACUGCGAAUACCGGAGAAUGUUAUCACGGGAGACACACGGCGGGUGCUAACGUCCGUCGUGAAGAGGGAAACAACCCAGACCGCCAGCUAAGGUCCCAAAGUCAUGGUUAAGUGGGAAACGAUGUGGGAAGGCCCAGACAGCCAGGAUGUUGGCUUAGAAGCAGCCAUCAUUUAAAGAAAGCGUAAUAGCUCACUGGUCGAGUCGGCCUGCGCGGAAGAUGUAACGGGGCUAAACCAUGCACCGAAGCUGCGGCAGCGAACGUAUCACCCAAGACAACUUUACGGAGUUGACGAUUGACGGAGCGAAGCGACGUCAAAGCGUUCAUUAAAGUCGAGUUGGCUUAGGGAUACGUUCGUUGGGUAGGGGAGCGUUCUGUAAGCCUGUGAAGGUGUGUCGUGAGGCAUGCUGGAGGUAUCAGAAGUGCGAAUGCUGACAUAAGUAACGAUAAAGCGGGUGAAAAGCCCGCUCGCCGGAAGACCAAGGGUUCCUGUCCAACGUUAAUCGGGGCAGGGUGAGUCGACCCCUAAGGCGAGGCCGAAAGGCGUAGUCGAUGGGAAACGGGUUAAUAUUCCCGUACUUGGUGUUACUGCGAAGGGGGGACGGAGAAGGCUAUGUUGGCCGGGCGACGGUUGUCCCGGUUUAAGCGUGUAGGUGUGUGUUCCAGGUAAAUCCGGUUCACUUUAACACUGAGGCGUGACGACGAGGCACUACGGUGCUGAAGCAACAAAUGCCCUGCUUCCAGGAAAAGCCUCUAAGCAUCAGGUAACACGAAAUCGUACCCCAAACCGACACAGGUGGUCAGGUAGAGAAUACCAAGGCGCUUGAGAGAACUCGGGUGAAGGAACUAGGCAAAAUGGUGCCGUAACUUCGGGAGAAGGCACGCUGACACGUAGGUGAAGUGAUUUACUCAUGGAGCUGAAGUCAGUCGAAGAUACCAGCUGGCUGCAACUGUUUAUUAAAAACACAGCACUGUGCAAACACGAAAGUGGACGUAUACGGUGUGACGCCUGCCCGGUGCCGGAAGGUUAAUUGAUGGGGUCAGCG
rnacentral:rRNA from 1 species